GAUCUGAUACUUUUUCAAUCUUCAUUAAGGAUAUAUCAAGACUUUCCAAAAGUGUUUAAAGGACUUUAUAUGAUAGGAUAAGUCAUCCAGCUAUUCCAUUAAGUUUGUCUUAUCCUUAAGGCUCCUGAUCAGAUCAAAUCUCCAUUGAGCGUGCUCUUUAAGUGGAUUUCCAUAAAUAGCAGAUGCUCUCAUAAAUGCGCGAGAUUUCCUUGAAUAAAUAUGAUGUUGUAACAUGUUUUCCAACAUCUUGUUAGUAUAUUUGUUUUAGCAAAAUUAAGCCAAUUCAAAUAUCCAACAUUUUGGGAAAAAAAUCCUUUUUCUUUCUCUCAAACACUCUCAGCUCUCUCUUUUCUCUCCAUCACCGUACAACACCACCACCCCACUAAGCUCAUCAAUUUUUGCUUCAAUCUCACAUGCAAUUGGUAAUACAAGUUCCUUAAGUUAUAGGCUCCAAGGUAAGCCAAUUUUUGGGUACUUUUCUUCUCUCAUUUCUUUCUAUUUCGUACCAAAUCCAUCUCCUCCCAAUAACUCAGUUAUGUUUUGUCUUGCACGUGAGGGAUUGGAACUCAUGGGUGUUUAAAUUGAUGAUUUAGGAACCUGUUUUGGAGGCACAAGUUCAAGAGGGAACUGAAGUGCAAUUUCAUAUAAGUAAUCAAGCUUUGGAGUUAGAAACAAGCUUCAAAAGAUUAGAUAGUUAGUUUUCCCCAAAUUAUGAUUUUGCAUGCCAACACUAAGAAUUAGGAUAAAUUGUGUAUGAGAGGAGCNNNNNNNNNNNNNNNNNNNNNNNNNNNNNNNNNNNNNNNNNNNUGGCUAGAAAGAAAAUGGAAUUGUGGUGAGAAUUUAUGUGAAUACCGAUGAGAAAUAUGAAACAAAGUAGCAGGUCAAUACUCUGCAUAAAUUUGAAAAUAAGAACAAUCUCACUCUUUUCAAUUCCUAAUACUUCUAGUUAAUUUCUGUGGAUAUUACAAGUAUAAUACAUAAUUAAAAUGUUAAUUGAACGUUAAGAAAUGAUAAUCAGGAAAUUAGAAUAAGUUAGUAAUCCCCGGGAGGGAAUCAAGGGCAGGAUAACACUCAGGACAGUUUAGUUAGUCCGUCAAUCACGGUGGAUACUUUUGUACCACGUUAUGGGAUUCGAGGAAUCUAAUUAUGUUACGAUUGUGAGCUUCAUGUCGUGCCGAUGCGUAUAAUUAUCGACGACGGAUAUGUCAUGUCAGGCCUCUGAGAUCAGCUCACCUCAGAGUAUCUUAGUUAUGUUAAAAUGAACAAGAUAAUAAUUCGUGGUACACAUUUAUGUUUUUAUGUUAUAUUAUGAAUUAUGUUAUGAAAAUUAUGUUAUGGACUGACAUUCAGGUACCCCGGUGUAGUCACCGUUAGUUGGGUAGUAAAACUCACUGAGGCUUAGUAGUCUCAUCCGACGCUUAUUCAUUAUUUUCAGAUAAGCAAGGUUCUCGUGGUAAGCGAGCAGAGGAGUAGUUGCUGCAGCUAGAUGCUUUAUGUUCCGGACUUUAUUGUCUAUUAUGCUGUCAUAUCAUGUUCUUUCCGUUUAAGUUGUAUCAGACUUAUGUAUCAAGUACCUACAUGUACAUAUCAAACUUCUUAUGUAUUAUAAUCUUUAUGUAUCCAGUACUUAAUUAUGAACGCUCUAGCUAUAUUCUAGACUAUUUAGCAUUGAGUGUUAUAGUCA
rnacentral:lncRNA from 1 species